rnacentral:rRNA from 1 species
AAACCGUUCAGGGGUAAACCUUAGAAACCCAAAAGAUCGAAUGGGGAGAUUCAUCGUCGACGGCGUUGGCUACCGUUGGUGCGCGAUGCUCCGGAUGGGCCCCCGUGGUUCCAUUAGCGAGGGCACGCCAUCUUCGGAUCGAACGUUCCGGCGUCGUAGUCGUGCACUUCUCCCCUAGUAGGACGUCGCGACCCGUUGUGUGUCGGUCUACGGCCCGGGUGGGCGCCUGUCGCGUCGUUUCGGCGCACGCGGCAGACCCUCGGACGCCCGGCCGGCUGCACGACGGUACACUCACGGUAUCGGGCCGCAACCAAUCCAUUCUCGAAUGUAUUUGCGUCCGUCCCGCCGCAAGCUCGGUCAGUUCUUACCCGGAGGUACGGACCCGGUGCCGUCCCCGGGCCUGGCCAGCUGAUAGCAGGCGAACGAACUAGGACUGGCCAAACCUCGGAUUACCGGUCGGCGACGCUAUUGCUUUGGGUACUCUCAGGACCCGUCUUGAAACACGGACCAAGGAGUCUAACAUGUGCGCGAGUCAUUGGGAUGCAUAAACCUAAAGGCGAAAUGAAAGUGAAAGUCGGCCCUCGCGCCGAUCGAGGGAGGAUGGGCCGCGUAACAUGUGCGGCCUCGCACUCCCGGGGCGUCUCGUUCUCAUCGCGAGAAGAGGCGCACCUAGAGCGUACACGUUGGGACCCGAAAGAUGGUGAACUAUGCCUGGUCAGGACGAAGUCAGGGGAAACCCUGAUGGAGGUCCGUAGCGAUUCUGACGUGCAAAUCGAUCGUCGA